rnacentral:rRNA from 1 species
GUUGAUCCUGCCGGAGGCCACUGCUAUUGGGGUUCGGCUAAGCCAUGCGAGCGGAGGGCGCGGUCGAAAGAUCGUGGCCCCGCACACGGCUCAGUAACACGUAGUCAACCUACCCUUGGGACGGGGACAACCUCGGGAAACUGAGGCUAAUCCCCGAUAGGCGAGGGACGCUGGGAUGCCCUCUCGCCCAAAGCUCCGGCGCCCAAGGAUGGGACUGCGACCUAUCAGGCUGUUGGUGGUGUGACGGACCACCAAACCUACGACGGGUACGGGCGAUGGGAGUCGGAGCCCGGAGAUGGGGACUGAGACAAGGCCCCAGGCCCUACGGGGCGCAGCAGGCGCGAAAACUCCGCAAUGCGCGCAAGCGUGACGGGGGGAUCCCAAGUGCCGUUGGUCUUUUGAUCGACGGCUUUUAGGAAGUUUAAGAAGCUUCCAGAAUAAGGGCUGGGUAAGACUGGUGCCAGCCGCCGCGGUAACACCAGCAGCCCAAGUAGUGGCCGCGAUUAUUGGGCCUAAAGCGCUCGUAGCCGGGCCAGCAAGUCCUUUGUGAAAUCGGGCCGCCCAACGGUUCGGCGUGCAAAGGAUACUGUUGGCCUUGAGGCCGGGAGAGGUCUGAGGUACUCCUGGGGUAGCGGUGUAAUGCUCUAAUCCUGGGGGGACCACCAGUGGCGAAGGCGUCCGACCAGAACGGACCUGACGGUGAGGGGCGAAGGCUAGGGGAGCGAACGGGAUUAGAUACCCCGGUAGUCCUAGCUGUAAAGCAUGCGGGCCAGGUGUCUAGCGCUCCUCGAGGGCGCUAGGUGCCGGAGGGAAGCCGUUAAGCCCGCCGCCUGGGAAGUACGGCCGCAAGGCUGAAACUUAAAGAAAUUGGCGGGGGAGCACCACAAGGGGUGGAACCUGCGGUUCAAUUGGAGUCAACGCCGGA